AUGAACGCUGGCGGCGUGCCUAAUACAUGCAAGUCGAGCGAACAGACGAGGAGCUUGCUCCUCUGACGUUAGCGGCGGACGGGUGAGUAACACGUGGAUAACCUACCUAUAAGACUGGGAUAACUUCGGGAAACCGGAGCUAAUACCCGAUAAUAUAUUCAACCGCAUGGUUCCAUAGUGAAAGACGGUUUUGCUGUCACUUAUAGAUGGAUCCGCGCCGCAUUAGCUAGUUGGUAAGGUAACGGCUUACCAAGGCAACGAUGCGUAGCCGACCUGAGAGGGUGAUCGGCCACACUGGAACUGAGACACGGUCCAGACUCCUACGGGAGGCAGCAGUAGGGAAUAUUCCGCAAUGGGCGAAAGCCUGACGGAGCAACGCCGCGUGAGUGAUGAAGGUCUUCGGAUCGUAAAACUCUGUUAUUAGGGAAGAACAAAUGUGUAAGUAACUAUGCACGUCUUGACGGUACCUAAUCAGAAAGCCACGGCUAACUACGUG
rnacentral:rRNA from 1 species